AUUUGUCUGGUUAAUUCCGAUAACGAACGAGACCUUAACCUGCUAACUAGAUUCUUUCAUCUUAUGAUUGUUAUCUUCUUAGAGGGACUAUGUAACAUAAAUACAUGGAAGUUUGAGGCAAUAACAGGUCAGUGAUGCCCUUAUAUGUCCUGGGCUGCACGCGUGCUACACUGAUGUAUACAGCAAGUGCCGAGCCAGACAUGGCAUGGCAAUCUCGAAUAUGCAUCGUGAUGGGGAUAGAUCUUUGCAAUUAUAGAUCUUGAACGAGGAAUUCCUAGUAAGUGCAAGUCAUCAUCUUGCAUUGAUUAUGUCCCUGCCCUUUGUACACACCGCCCGUCGCUCCUACCGAUACCGGGUGAUCCGGUGAACCUUUUGGACCCGCAUGGGGAAGAUAAGUAAACCAUAUCACCUAGAGGAAGGAGAAGUCGUAACAAGGUUUCCGUAGGUGAACCUGCRGAAGGAUCA
rnacentral:rRNA from 1 species